rnacentral:rRNA from 1 species
UACGAAGGGGGCUAGCGUUGUUCGGAAUUACUGGGCGUAAAGCGCACGUAGGCGGAUAUUUAAGUCAGGGGUGAAAUCCCAGAGCUCAACUCUGGAACUGCCUUUGAUACUGGGUAUCUUGAGUAUGGAAGAGGUAAGUGGAAUUCCGAGUGUAGAGGUGAAAUUCGUAGAUAUUCGCAAGAACACCAGUGGCGAAGGCGGCUCACUGGCCCGGUACUGACGCUGAGGUGCGAAAGCGUGGGGAGCAAACAGG